rnacentral:rRNA from 1 species
UACGGAGGAUGCAAGCGUUAUCCGGAUUUACUGGGUGUAAAGGGUGCGUAGGUGGUAUGGCAAGUCAGAAGUGAAAACUCCGGGCUCAACCCGGAGACUGCUUUUGAAACUGUCAAACUGGAGUGCAGGAGAGGAAAGCGGAAUUCCUAGUGUAGCGGUGAAAUGCGUAGAUAUUAGGAGGAACACCAGUGGCGAAGGCAGCUUUCUGGACUGUUACUGACACUGAGGCACGAAAGCGUGGGGAGCAAAC